rnacentral:rRNA from 1 species
GAUGAACGCUGGCGGCGUGCCUAAUACAUGCAAGUCGAACGAGGCCCUUUGUAUUCGUACGAAGGUGUCCUAGUGGCGAACGGGUGAGUAACACGUAGGUGACCUGCCCCGAAGAGGGGAACAACCCCGGGAAACUGGGGCUAAUACCCCAUAAUCUCCUUAGAGUUAGAGGUCUUAGGAGCAAAGGAGCAAUCCACUUUGGGAGGGGCCUGCGGCCCAUCAGCUAGUUGGUAGGGUAAUGGCCUACCAAGGCGAUGACGGGUAGGGGACCUGAGAGGGUGAUCCCCCACACUGGCACUGAAACACGGGCCAGACACCUACGGGUGGCAGCAGUAGGGAAUAUUGCCCAAUGGACGAAAGUCUGAGGCAGCAACGCCGCGUGCGCGAUGAAGGCCUUCGGGUUGUAAAGCACUUUUCUGAGGGAAGAGAAAGGACGGUACCUCAGGAAUAAGUCUCGGCUAACUACGUG